UACGGGGGGGAGCAAGCGUUGUUCGGAAUCACUGGGCGUAAAGGGCGUGUAGGCGGUCAUGUAAGUGGGGCGUGAAAUCCCCCAGCUCAACUGGGGAACUGCGCUCCAUACUGCGUGGCUCGAGGACCGGAGAGGAAACGGAAUCCCGGUGUAGCGGUGAAAUGCGUAGAUAUCGGGAGGAACACCGGUGGCGAAGGCGGGUCUCUGGGCCGAUACUGACGCUGAGGAGCGAAAAGCGUGGGGGAGCGAACAGG
rnacentral:rRNA from 1 species